UACGAAGGGGGCUAGCGUUGCUCGGAAUCACUGGGCGUAAAGCGCACGUAGGCGGAUUGCUAAGUCAGGGGUGAAAUCCUGGAGCUCAACUCCAGAACUGCCCUUGAUACUGGCGUGCUUGAGGACUGGAGAGGAGACUGGAAUUCAUGGUGUAGCAGUGAAAUGCGUAGAGAUCAUGAGGAAGACCAGUGGCGAAGGCGGGUCUCUGGACAGUUCCUGACGCUGAGGCACGAAGGCCAGGGGAGCAAACGGG
rnacentral:rRNA from 1 species